rnacentral:rRNA from 1 species
AGCUCCAAUAGCGUAUAUUAAAGUUGUUGUGGUUAAAAAGCUCGUAGUUGGAUCUCGGCAGUCUGAGGUUGGUGUACUUGCUAGUACUACUGCCCUAUAGACUGUAGUUUUGCCAGAGGUGCCCGGGUGCUCUUAAUCGAGUGUCCUGGUAUGCUGGCAGGUUUGCUUUGAAAAAAUUAGAGUGUUCAAAGCAGGCUUAUGCCUUUGAAUAUAUUAGCAUGGAAUAAUGAUAUAGGACUUUGGUACUAUUUUGUUGGUUUGUGCACUAAAGUAAUGAUUAAUAGGGACAGUCGGGGGCAUUUGUAUUCAAACGACAGAGGUGAAAUUCUUGGACCGUUUGAAGACAAACUACUGCGAAAGCAUUUGCCAAGAAUGUUUUCA